rnacentral:misc_RNA from 1 species
ACAUCCUUCAACCUUUCUUGGUUUCUCAAUCAAGAAAGGCUUGGACUUUGGAGGUUUUAAUUGCUGGCCUCUCUUGAAGUCAGCUCCUCUUAAAUGGAUUAGUGGGGUCUGCUUUGCCGAUCCUUGACGUGAUAAGAUGUUUCUACGUCUUGGGUUUUGCACUCCCUGCUUCUAAUCGUCUUGCAUUCAGGACAGAGUCAUGAA